rnacentral:rRNA from 1 species
AUUGAACGCUGGCGGCAGGCCUAACACAUGCAAGUCGAGCGGAUGAAGGGAGCUUGCUCCUGGAUUCAGCGGCGGACGGGUGAGUAAUGCCUAGGAAUCUGCCUGGUAGUGGGGGAUAACGUCCGGAAACGGGCGCUGAUACCGCAUACGUCCUGAGGGAGCAAGUGGGGGAUCUUCGGACCUCACGCCAUCAGAUGAGCCUAGGUCGGAUUAGCUAGUUGGUGGGGUAAAGGCCUACCAAGGCGAGGAUCGGUAACUGGUCUGAGAGGAUGAUCAGUCACACUGGAACGGGGAGACGGUCCAGACCACUACGAGAGGCAGCAGGGGGGAAUAUUUGAGGAUGGGCGAAGGCCGGAACCAGCCAUGACGCGUGUGUGAAGAAGGUAGUCGGAUCGUGUGGAAGUUGAAGGUGGGAGGAAGGGCAGUAUGUUAAUACGUUGAUGUUUUUAAGUGACCAACAGAAUGAGCACCGGCUAACUUUGGU